UAAGGAAUAUUGGUCAAUGGACGCAAGUCUGAACCAGCCAUGCCGCGUGAAGGAUGAAGGUCCUCUGGAUUGUAAACUUCUUUUAUCUGGGACGAAAACGGGAUUUUUAUCUCAAUUGACGGUACCAGAGGAAUAAGCACCGGCUAACUCCGUGCCAGCAGCCGCGGUAAUACGGAGGGUGCGAGCGUUAUCCGGAUUUACUGGGUUUAAAGGGUGCGUAGGUGGGCCUAUAAGUCAGUGGUGAAAUCUCCGAGCUUAACUUGGAAACUGCCGUUGAUGCUAUAGGUCUUGAAUUAUCUGGAGGUAAGCGGAAUAUGUCAUGUAGCGGUGAAAUGCUUAGAUAUGACAUAGAACACCAAUUGCGAAGGCAGCUUACUACAUAUAAAUUGACGCUGAGGCACGAAAGCGUGGGGAUCAAACA
rnacentral:rRNA from 1 species